rnacentral:rRNA from 1 species
UAACCUGCCUCUUAGCGGGGGAUAACUAUUGGAAACGAUAGCUAAUACCGCAUAAAAGUCGAUAUCGCAUGACAUUGAUUUGAAAGGUGCAAUUGCAUCACUAAGAGAUGGACCUGCGUUGUAUUAGCUAGUUGGUGAGGUAACGGCUCACCAAGGCGACGAUACAUAGCCGACCUGAGAGGGUGAUCGGCCACACUGGGACUGAGACACGGCCCAG